GAGUGAACGCUGGCGGUAGGCCUAACACAUGCAAGUCGAACGGCAGCCCAGUAAGAGCUUGCUCUUACGGGUGGCGAGUGGCGGACGGGUGCGGAAUACAUCGGAAUCUACUUUUUCGUGGGGGAUAACGUAGGGAAACUUACGCUAAUACCGCAUACGACCUACGGGUGAAAGCAGGGGAACUUCGGACCUUGCGCGAUUGAAUGAGCCGAUGUCGGCUUAGCUAGUUGGCGGGGUAAAGGCCCACCAAGGCGACGAUCCGUAGCUGGUCGCAGAGGAUGAUCAGCGACACUGGAACUGAGACACGGUCCAGACUCCUACGGGAGGCAGCAGUGGGGAAUAUUGGACAAUGGGCGCAAGCCUGAUCCAGCCAUACCGCGUGGGUGAAGAAGGCCUUCGGGUUGUAAAGCCCUUUUGUUGGGAAAGAAAAGCAGCAGGUUAAUACCCCGCUGUUCUGACGGUACCCAAAGAAUAAGCACCGGCUAACUUCGUG
rnacentral:rRNA from 1 species